rnacentral:rRNA from 1 species
UACAGAGGGUGCAAGCGUUAAUCGGAGUUACUGGGCGUAAAGGGCGCGUAGGCGGUUCGAUAAGUCGGGUGUGAAAGCCCCGGGCUUAACCUGGGAAUUGCAUUCGAUACUGUCGAGCUAGAGUAUGGUAGAGGAAAGCGGAAUUCCACAUGUAGCGGUGAAAUGCGUAGAUAUGUGGAGGAACAUCAGUGGCGAAGGCGGCUUUCUGGACUAAUACUGACGCUGAGGCGCGAAAGCGUGGGGAGCAAACAGG